rnacentral:rRNA from 1 species
UGGGGAAUUUUGGACAAUGGGCGCAAGCCUGAUCCAGCCAUGCCGCGUGCGGGAAGAAGGCCUUCGGGUUGUAAACCGCUUUUGUCAGGGAAGAAAUCUUCUGAGUUAAUACCUCGGGAGGAUGACGGUACCUGAAGAAUAAGCACCGGCUAACUACGUGCCAGCAGCCGCGGUAAUACGUAGGGUGCAAGCGUUAAUCGGAAUUACUGGGCGUAAAGCGUGCGCAGGCGGUUUUGUAAGACAGAGGUGAAAUCCCCGGGCUCAACCUGGGAACUGCCUUUGUGACUGCAAGGCUUGAGUGCGGCAGAGGGGGAUGGAAUUCCGCGUGUAGCAGUGAAAUGCGUAGAUAUGCGGAGGAACACCGAUGGCGAAGGCAAUCCCCUGGGCCUGCACUGACGCUCAUGCACGAAAGCGUGGGGAGCAAACAGGAUUAGAUACCCUGGUAGUCACGCCCUAAACGAUGUCAACUGGUUGUUGGGGAAGGUUCCUUCUCAGUAACGUAGCUAACGCGUG